UUCCGGUUGAUCCCGCCAGACCUGACUGCUAUCGGAUUGGUACUAAGCCAUGUGAGUCGUUGUAGCAAUACAAGGCAUACGGCUCAGUAACACGUAGUCAAUCUAACCUAUGGACGGGGAUAACCUCGGGAAACUGAGGAUAAAACCCGAUAGAUCAUAAUGCCUGGAACGGUUUAUGGUUCAAAUGAUUCGUCGCCGUAGGGUGGGACUGCGGCCUAUCAGCUUGUUGGUGAGGUAAUGGCCCACCAAGGCUAUUACAGGUACGGGCUCUGAGGGGAGAAGCCCGGAGAUGGGUACUGAGACACGGACCCAGGCCCUAUGGGGCGCAGCAGGCGAGAAACCUUUGCAAUGUGCGCAAGCACGACAAGGUUAAUCCGAGUGUUUCCUGUUAAAGGAAUCUUUUGUUAGUCGUAAAACCACUAUUGAAUAAGGGGUGGGCAAGUUCUGGUGUCAGCCGCCGCGGUAAAACCAGCACCUCAAGUGGUCAGGAUGAUUAUUGGGCCUAAAGCAUCCGUAGCCUGCUCUGUAAGUUUUCGGUUAAAUCUGUAUGCUCAACAUACAGGCCGCCGGGAAUACUGCAGAGCUAGGGAGUGGGAGAGGUAGACGGUACUCGGGAGGAAGUGGUAAAAUGCUUUGAUCUCUCGAUGACCACCUGUGGCGAAGGCGGUCUACCAGAACACGUCCGACGGUGAGGGAUGAAAGCUGGGGGAGCAAACCGGAUUAGAUACCCGGGUAGUCCCAGCCGUAAACUAUGCAAACUCAGUGAUGCAUUGGCUUGUGGCCAAUGCAGUGUUGCAGGGAAGCCGUUAAGUUUGCCGCCUGGGAAGUACGUACGCAAGUAUGAAACUUAAAGGAAUUGGCGGGGGAGCAC
rnacentral:rRNA from 1 species